GAUGAACGCUGGCGGCGUGCCUAAUACAUGCAAGUCGAGCGAACGGACGAGAAGCUUGCUUCUCUGAUGUUAGCGGCGGACGGGUGAGUAACACGUGGAUAACCUACCUAUAAGACUGGGAUAACUUCGGGAAACCGUAGCUAAUACCGGAUAAUAUUUUGAACCGCAUGGUUCAAAAGUGAAAGACGGUCUUGCUGUCACUUAUAGAUGGAUCCGCGCUGCAUUAGCUAGUUGGUAAGGUAACGGCUUACCAAGGCAACGAUGCAUAGCCGACCUGAGAGGGUGAUCGGCCGCACUGGAGCUGGGACGCGGUCCUGACUCCUAAGGGAGGCAGCAGUAGGGAAUGUGCCGCAGUGGGCGAAAGCCUGACGGAGCAACGCCGCGUGAGUGAUGAAGGUCUUCGGAGCGUAAAACUCUGUUAUGAGGGAAGAACAUAUGUGUAAGUAACUGUGCACAUCGUGACGGUACCUAGUCAGAAAGCCACGGCUAACUACGUG
rnacentral:rRNA from 1 species